GUGACAUCGAUGUACUUUGGAGUUCGUGCUGAUCAUCAGAGAAAAAUCCUUUCAUGGGUUUGUUUCGUUGAAGGUUGAAGCAGAUAUUAGUUGGUCCUUGUAACCUUAAGUGAAGGUUACAAGGCAAACCGACUUGAUUUGAAGUUGUUCUUCUGAUCUGUUCUUAUAGCCCGAUACGAAGUCUGCAAGUCAAAUAUGCUUGGAGUUAAACGCACCCCCAGGUCGAUAGGUAUUUGAUGUGGGACUUGCAGUCUGGGGAGCUGGAGUG
rnacentral:lncRNA from 1 species